rnacentral:lncRNA from 10 species
UCGCACCUGGCCCAUGGUGAAGACAUUUGACUGUCAUUUCCUCCUUCACCCUUCUCACUUUUCCUUAUCCUCUUAUCCUUCCUUUUCCCUCUCUCCUCUCUUUUGUUGGGAACUGAGAUUUCAGUUGACAUACCCAGCAAGGGGUAUAGGCCUAGCAUUUCCAAGCCUGAGACUUUAGCUGCCUUCAGUUUCCUAAUUUAUUUUGGUAAUACAAAUUAAGCAAUAUGCUUGUCAAAAAACUGAUUUUAUUGACUGCCCAUUUAUCUUGCCCCUGGGACAUUAUUCUCUCUUAAGCAUUUCCAAAUUCUCUGUAAGUCAGGACCCCUAGUUCAAAUUCCAACCUUUGCCACUUAUUACAGUCAUUAUACACAUUUUGCUCUCCAUCUGCACUCUAUUGUCUCAGGUUCUCUCAUCCCCAGUGGUAUCAUGGAGCUUAGGUCUAUAAUAGCAUAUUUUCCAGGCCCUCUACAGAACAUACCUUGUUGGUGGGUUUUCCAGCUUUAUGUAUUCUAUCUACUUCAAAAUGUCCGGUCCUCUAAGCCUCUUGAUUCCCUCCUCCUCAAUAUGGCACAGAGUUUCUUGCAUUUCUACUUUAUUUAGUGGAAAAUUUCACUUGUUCCAAGAACUCAGAAUAUUCCAAGUUCACCCUAACAGCAUGUUAGUUGUAUCUACCAAAAUUCUAAUCAUGGCAUUAAAUAUCAUAUCGCAGAAAAGUACUCCCAUAUUAACAAACUCUCUCUAACAUGAAUUUAUGUUUCCUUUUGUUGCAGUCCCCUUUUCCCCUGUUCAAUGAGGUACAGCCUCUUGUCCCACGACCAAGAAGAACAAGGCACGCAGACACCAGUGGAUCUUCUCAUCAACAGAUGGAAUCUGAAAUGACCGUGCAGCUUGUUUGACCGUCAGAAGGCAGUGAAAGUGAUAUUGUUCUGAGCUUCAUCAUGCCUUGCAAACUCUCCACUUUCUCUUGAAAUACCUUCCAAUCACCAUGUUAACAAGCCCAAGCUAGUCUGCUGGAUGAUGAGAGACAUGUGUCUCCAUCACCUCAACUCUCCUUUUCACCCCCUCACUCUGUCACUCAAGUACGGGCAAUCAACCCCCCGAAGCAGAGCCACCUAACCAAAUAAAAAUUAACCAAGAUACAUGAGGGAGCCCAGGCAAGAACAAAACAGCCCCACUGAGCCCAACCUAAACUACCAACCAAGAGAAUCAUGAACUGACAACAUAGCUGCUAUUUUAAAGACAAUGAUUUUGGGGGUGCAGCAAAACGAAACUGACAUAGAAAGGAGUUUUUUGCCAUUGUUUUGUCAUUAUGGUUAUUUGUUUUAAUAUGGGAGAUAAUGUAGCAUGUUUGCUUGUGGGAAUAAUUCAGCAAGAGGAAAAAAUAAUGGUGAUCAGAGAGGAGACCAUUUUAAAAGCAAUAUUUUGAGUAGGAUAGGAAAUGUGAGUUUCAGUCCACUGGUAGGAAUUUUGGCCUUAUAUGGAAGCAUAGAUAAAUAGCAUGUGCAAAGAGGAGAUGACAGAGUGCCAUGUACACUAUAUGUAAGUGCUCAAUGAACACAAAUCAAUAUGUUUAAAUGAUAUGGCUAUCCUUGGAAACAUUAAUUACAGACCUAAAUUUUAAAGUAAGUUUUUCUGGUCUCAAAGCCCUUUCUAAAAUAACUGCCAGGGAUCUUUUUUUUGCUUUAUGUAGAAUUAUUUUCUUAAUUAUCUCCAUAUAUCCAAAUCCCAUCCAUUAUUUGAAAAUAAGUAUCACCUUUCCAUGAACUCUUCCUUCAUAUUCCCAUCUUAAAGCAAUCUGUCAUUCCUAAUACAACUAAGGCCCAUAAUAAUUGUAUCUCAGUGUUUUCAAAUACACUUACAAAUUUCUUACUUGUCUUAUAAUUAUAUGGAUUAAUAGAAA